rnacentral:rRNA from 1 species
UACGAAGGGUGCAAGCGUUACUCGGAAUUACUGGGCGUAAAGCGUGCGUAGGUGGUUCGUUAAGUCUGUCGUGAAAGCCCCGGGCUCAACCUGGGAAUGGCGAUGGAUACUGGCGGGCUAGAGUGCGGUAGAGGAGAGUGGAAUUCCCGGUGUAGCAGUGAAAUGCGUAGAGAUCGGGAAGAACAUCGGUGGCGAAGGCGGAUCUGCUGGGC